rnacentral:misc_RNA from 1 species
GCUGGUUAUUCAGCUGACCUUCAUGUUGAACCAGAUAGUUUUCUUCAAGAGUCAGACUUUUUGAAUGCCAAAUAUUGCGUUUCUGCUGAAAAUGAAUCUACUGUGGAUUUGCUUCAAUUGUCUUCACAUCUUCACAGGGUGGAGCAACAAAGGAAUUCUGUGCAAGUGAAGCAUGAAAUUGAGGAAUUUUCCAGUUUCCUUACCACAUAUGGGCCAUGAAGGAACAAGGGUCAAAGGAGCUAGUUGAAGCUAUGAUACAUGCCAAACAUCAUAUGUGUAAACUAACUUCAUUGAUGCAAUAGACGGAAG